rnacentral:rRNA from 1 species
GAUGAACGCUGGCGGCGUGCCUAAUACAUGCAAGUCGAGCGAACAGACGAGGAGCUUGCUCCUCUGACGUUAGCGGCGGACGGGUGAGUAACACGUGGAUAACCUACCUAUAAGACUGGGAUAACUUCGGGAAACCGGAGCUAAUACCGGAUAAUAUAUUGAACUGCAUGGUUCAAUAGUGAAAGACGGUUUUGCUGUCACUUAUAGAUGGAUCCGCGCUGCAUUAGCUAGUUGGUAAGGUAACGGCUUACCAAGGCAACGAUGCGUAGCCGACCUGAGAGGGUGAUCGGCCACACUGGAACUGAGACACGGUCCAGACUCCUACGGGAGGCAGCAGUAGGGAAUCUUCCGCAAUGGGCGAAAGCUUGACGGAGCAACGCCGCGUGAGUGAUGAAGGUCUUCGGAUCGUAAAACUCUGUUAUUAGGGAAGAACAAAUGUGUAAGUAACUAUGCACAUCUUGACGGUACCUAAUCAGAAAGCCACGGCUAACUACGUG